GAUAAAAGUGGUGGGUUGGGAAGAAAGGAGGUUUCUUUGCCAGUUGUACAGCUCUGCUUGGAGCUCCCAGCUGAGGUCAGUGAGAUGUGCUGGGUGUUUAAGAUCUCAGCAUAAAGAGUGAAGGAAAGGUGAAAAAUGGUAUCUGAAUAGAAGAAAAGGAGAAGACAUAGAGAAGGUGAUGCAGAAGGUGGGAAAGCUCCAUGUGAUGGUGCAGUUUGGAGUCUGUGUGCUCAACCAAGCUGGGAAGGAACAGUCAUCCAUUAUGGGCCUGCUUUAAACAUGUGAAGGACAGGACAUCUCCCGUCACCAAUGCCUCUACUUGCCCACAUUAGCUCUUUUGCUUCCCACUACCUCUGUUGAGUGCUGUUCUCCCAAGGGGAGGUUAUGGGAAAAGCCUCUGACCAUCCCAAGCAUCACGCAGAAUGUGGAGGACUACGUUGUUCAGACUCAGCGAGGUCUGUAUGAGCAUCUGCUGAGCAGAACUUAUGCUGUGCAAACUGCUCUAGGAGUGCACGUGGAGCACUAUCAAUAUGGACUUGGACUUUCCUGGAGAAAACAGGACUGCUCCCAACCAGCAAGGGUGUUUGGGCAGCUAAUAUCAAAGGAAAUCAAUUUCUGACAUUUUGAAAAUCUGGAUCUUGCUCUCUAUGGACACCCGUGUCUUGUUUCUGUUGACACCCAAGCACUCGCUGGUUAACAGCAAAACGCAGAUUUCACUGAACAUGUUGACCAUGCGUCAUAGAUCUGAGCACAGAUCAGCCGAAAAGACUUGGUUAAAGGCCAGGAAAAAUCUGCCUCGAACAGGAAAAGUAGGGAAGCUUAUUUUUGCAAUCGAGGUGAAAGGAAUUGAAAGAUCUCAUUUUCUUCUCUCCUCCCUGGAAACGCUUCCUAAUCCUAACAGUGAGACUCUUGUGGGAGCAAGGAUGUGAGGAUGGAAGAGAGACCUUUGUGUAUUACUCUUCCAAAAGCAGUGUUGGGUUUCCUCCAGCAAUCUGGAGGAGCUUCGCCACAUCACUUGUAGCUGGUGCUGUCAUUUCAGUUGCCCUUUUUGCAUUGAGUGGGAGAAUCUGUGGGUCUCAUGGAGGAGCUGGCAGGCAACAGUCCUGGGACAAAUGGAGUAUGUGUGGGUCUGGCAGAGGGUGUGGAGUCACUGUGCGAGUGCCUGGCCUGUUUACAUGUACCCAAAGAGCGUUCAAGUUGUGACUUGAACAGGGGAUUGCUAAUGCCAGGUUUGUCGGUGGUGGGAGAGACUCUGAUCAUCCACCUGGUGGGGUGUUUUGGGAGGCUGGUCUGCACCCACCACCUGCAGAACUUGGGCCUCUGCAGCUUUGAAGCAUGUAAACUUAGCUCUGAGUCCUUUGGUCACAAAAGGUAUGAAAUACACAGGUGUGCUUCUGACUCAGUUGGAGGCAGCUGUUGAAGGUGGAUAGGCUCCUCCAGUCCUUCUGAAGUUGUUUUACAGGAAGAACUUUGUCUGCCGCCAGGACCUCCUUCCUUCAUCUCAAUUUCGGUGUGUCACCAUCUAUUUCUGUGCAGAUCGCAGUUCAGAACCAACCAGAUUGGCUUCAGCCUCAUCACACAGAUUUUACUUAAUGAUAAUUCUUUGUGCAGUAGUUCCUACACACUUGUGUUAAAUUGGACACGGGGUGUGCCAGGCACAAGUAUGCUGGGGGAGGUCCCCAUCCUGCCAGCUGACAGACAGGAGUUUGCAGAGGUGUCCCUGCAGCUCUAUUUAGUGAGUUGGCACUUCUCCGGACUGCUGGUUGACAAAACUCUGUCCCAGGACAAUUUUAGAAAGUUUUCUUACUUUCUACUGUGGCAGUAGUAAGCUCCAGGUGUGCAUCAUCUUGCCUGUCAUAGAAAACUGCAGGUGCCAUUCCUCACUCGUUCACAAAGGCUUAUCUAGCCUGGUUUUAGCCAAAGCCAGCAAAAUACUCCUGAAAGGAGUCCAGUGUCAUCUUCAUCUCCUAGCAAGGGAAAUUGAGGCACCAAGUGCUGGAUUCAAGGCAGCCUGCAGGCUGGUUGUGAGUGGUGUUUUAGGUGCAUGCACUCUUCCCAACGUGGGCCCCCUAGCCUGGCACAGCCAACCCUGGCAGGGAGCCGACCUCGCUGGAGGCAUUCCUGCAGAAAGGGAGAGGCAGGUUUCCUCGGGGCUGAGUACAAAUACACCCUGGCAAUGAGCAGUAGGUGGUGUUGCACCGACAUGUCAGAGAAAAGCCUGUUUGUGCCAAACGUAUCGGAGAAACUGUUUUGGAAUGGUUCAUUGGUGUGAAGACAGGGCCCCAAAAUAGUGUCGGGAGAAGAGGAACUGUAGCAACAUGCUGGGGACGUGCCAGCUGUCUGCAUUAGACAGAAGGGUGGUAGAUUAGGAAGGAACAUGGGUGCAUUUAUUCCUCCACAUUUUUCCCCACAUCUCUUUAAAAAAUCCUGCAGGAGAGGACACUGCUUCCCAGCCAUGGGUGCUGUCAUGACCGCACCAAGACAAGGUGAGGUGGUGCUGCCACUGGGGGAGCAUGACAGAAAUGCUGUUCUCCACAGGGCUCCCUUGUCUCUGGUGGGUGUUGUAGGGUGGGUGAAAGAUGCUGGGUGGGAGAUGGGGCCUUUGGACUAUAGGAAAUCAGUGAACCCUGGGGAUCUGGGGUAUUUCUGACCACCUUCCUGAUCACUCAGGAGGGAUCAAGGCAUGCUGUGGAUGUUGGUGGGAGGAGGGUACGUACAGUUAGCCAUCAGCCCUGCUUCGGGUACCAAGUGUGGAAGGAGCAGGGUGUAGGGGUUGCAGCCCCCCUAGCCUCCUUCCUCCAAACUUCCCCCAAACGCUCCCCCCUCUCCCAAGCACACAGUCCUUGUUGGCAGUGCGGCACUGCAGCUGCCACCAGACCCAAGCAAAUCUGAUAAUGCAGGGUGAGGAGUGGGGGGUAAAAUCAACCAAGGAGCAAAAGAGCCCUUUGUCACAUGUGCGUUAUUCUCCGGGGGUGGCAUUGCUGUUUCCCAGGCAGCAGCAGGUUGCGAGGAGAGCUGGUAGGCAGGUGACCGGGGCGAAGCAGAGAGCCACCCGCUGCGGUGAGAAGGGGAUGCUGUUGGCAAUAAACAGCAAGCUACAAAAGGAGGCAGGGACUGCAGAGAGGGAGCUGAGGAGGUCUCCAUAGAGACACUUCACCUGCUGCCAUGGGUGCCUUUGGGGAUUGGCACCGUCUGGGUCCUUAGGAAGAAAGGCGCCUGGCACGGGUACGGCAGGAUGCUCGCUGUCGGUGCUGCCUGCAGCGAGGUGGAGCCUUCCAGGCCCACUAUUCAGAGGAGGAAAAAAUGGCAUUGAAAUGAUGUUAAGGUUGGGGCCCAAGACAUUCAAAGAGUGCAUGCCAGCUGCUUGCUCUCAGAAAGGGGCCCAAAGCCCCAGAAGGAGGGGAGCGGGCAGAGGAAGGGCAGAGAUGCUGCAUUUCCCUGGGCUGACAGUGUGGUGGCUUUCCUUGCCUCAGGUGCAAGCUGACCAUGGCAGAAAUUAUCCUUUUGCUUGAUCCAUACUGUUGUUAUUUUGAGGCAAUGCUCGCUGAGGGACGGGGAGAUGGGAAAAGCUUCAUGCCGACAGCGACCAGCCAUGCUCCAAUGCUGCAGACAGCAUGGAGGUAACCUAACUGCUGUCCCCUGGCUUAGGUAUCACUUCCAGCUGGGAGGUGGUGACAGGCUGUAUGGGUGCUUCCAGCCUCCAGACUGGAGCUGUGGAUGUUCCUCAAUUCCCCAAAGUCAAGAGUGUGCAUGCCCAUCCAUGGGACGUGUCAGGCUAUGGCUGUGCUGCGCGUGGAGGAGAGGUGCAUAGGCUAUUACAGAGCAAGCACACAGAGACCUUCCUGACCUCCUUGUGGUCACAUCUGGCAGAGGACAGAGGGCCGGCUACUCCUCCCUUCCAGGCUGCACUGUGCUUCUAGAUGAGGUGAAGAUUCAUGGCUUGAGGAGGAGAUGAGACAUGGAGCAGCUGUGCUCAAUAAGCCCUGGUGCUUGUUUGGCGGGGAUGUAUCUGAGCUGUGCUGCACUAGCGUUUUGGACUGUUCCACUUGAAGUGGGACUGUGGGACUCAAAGCUGGAGUUUCCAGAGAUCCCUUUGAACUGGUUCAGGAGGGUGAAGGGAAAUGACAGUAUAGAGCCAGACCUUUUAUCUCCUUGUGCUAGAGCUGGGGUGUCAGUGAUGGAUACGAUGAAUUGACGGUAUGGGUUGUGCUCAUGUGCCAAGUGCUGCGUCACACGGACAUGGAAAUCACCGAAUCCACCUAGCGUAAACAAAGGAAAUGGGGAAGUGAUUUACAGUAAAAUUAAUAAAAAUGUGGUCCAUCUCAAAAGGGAAAUGCACAGACCACUCUUUGGGCUUUGAGGAGGGUCAACAAGACCGAGUGGAGAAUGGGCCAGAGAAAAAGGUUUUCUCUGCAGCCUUGGGAGUAAGCGAUGGACUCACCCAGCGCCAUCCUGCCCUGGGAUCCCCCUUCCCAGGCAGUGGCCCAACAAGCCCAGGAGGACAGCCCAGAGGAAAGCUGGCUUUGCUUCAUGCCUCUGUGCGCACAGCCAUGGGGAACUGCUGGUUUGGGAGCACGCUCUCAUCACUCAGGGACACAUGAGACCCAGGAGCAGCUGGCUCUCUCGCGAAACUGUCUGACCAGAACAGGAGUCAUUUCCCUUUUCCCCUAUUCCCUGCAGAAAGUGCCGGGUUGUCAGCAGGUUGCGUGAGGUUAAACAGUCACAUCUGAAGUGCUUCUCCGCCGUGACGUGUCUGAACCUCUGCAGCUCUGUGUCUGGCCCUGCUCCUUGUUGUUGCCUACAGGAAUGCAUGGAGAAAAAAAAAGAGGUAAAAAUUAUAAGGGAAGCGGUAGGGACAGACACCACCUGGCUCUCCUCUUUCAUCCACCAACUUAUUUCUCCUGAGUGAAGCAAAAUUUCUCCAUGUGUGUUCCAGCAGAAAACAAAAGGGGGACUAAGCUGUGAGAGACAAUAACAACAGUUAAUUACAAUUAUUAUUGUUUUCUGUUAGCUUGGCUAAAUGGUGUGUAAGUACAGACUGGGUUGUUUGCAAGAUUGUAAAGAGGAUGUGUUGAGAUGGGUGAUGGAGGUUAACAGUUCCCCCUAACAUCUGACAUGCAACUUUUCAGGAGAAAGAUGCUGAUGUCAUUUGAAACUGCUCUGGUUGAUAUUAAAGUUUACUGUCCAAAGAA